rnacentral:rRNA from 1 species
UACGGAGGUGGCGAGCGUUGUUCGGAAUCACUGGGCGUAAAGAGCUCGUAGGCGGUUCGGUAAGUCGGGUGUGAAACCUCCAGGCUCAACCUGGAGACGCCACCCGAUACUGCUGUGACUAGAGUCCGGAAGAGGCGAGUGGAAUUCCCGGUGUAGCGGUGAAAUGCGCAGAUAUCGGGAGGAACACCAAUGGCGAAGGCAGCUCGCUGGGACGGUACUGACGCCUGAGACGCGAAAGCGUGGGGAGCAAACAGG